rnacentral:misc_RNA from 1 species
UCACAGUUUGCACUGGCAGUCUCGUUAGAGUUCCCGACAUGACUCGCUGGCAACUAACGACAGGGGUUGCGCUCGUUAUAGGACUUAACCUGACACCUCACGGCACGAGCUGACGACAACCAUGCAGCACCUUGUAAUCUGUCCGAAGAAAAGCAUGUUUCCACGCCUGUCAGACUACAUUUAAGCCUUGGUAAGGUUCCUCGCGUAUCAUCGAAUUAAACCACAUGCUCCACCGCUUGUGCGGGCCCCCGUCAAUUCCUUUGAGUUUCAGGCUUGCGCCCGUACUCCCCAGGUGGGAUACUUAUCACUUUCGCUUAGCCACUGAAAUUGCUUCCAACAGCUAGUAUCCAUCGUUUACGGCGUGGACUAC